CUUUCCUUCCAGCAACUUCGCGGUGUGGUGAACUCUCUGAGGAAAAACCAUUUUGAUUAUUACUCUCAGACGUGCGUGGCAACAAGUGACUGAGACCUAGAAAUCCAAGCGUUGGAGGUCCUGAGGCCAGCCUAAGUCGCUUCAAAAUGGAACGAAGGCGUUUGUGGCGUGGAGUUGAAAGGGGAGGUAUGCCCAGAAAGGCCUGUAAUAGCUUCAGAGGGGCCAGAGGAGGGACCCAGAGGCCAUGGAGUCAAUGUUGUGGUCUUCCCAGAGGUCUGGGCAGAUGGCUUCUGCACCACAGCUGGGUCUGGGUUCCAUUCAGAGCCGAUACAUCAGCAUGAGUGUGUGGACAAGCCCACGGAGACUUGUGGAGCUGGCAGGGCAGAGCCUGCUGAAGGAUGAGGCCCUGGCCAUUGCCGCCCUGGAGUUGCUGCCCAGGGAGCUCUUCCCGCCACUCUUCAUGGCAGCCUUUGACGGGAGACACAGCCAGACCCUGAAGGCAAUGGUGCAGGCCUGGCCCUUCACCUGCCUCCCUCUGGGAGUGCUGAUGAAGGGACAACAUCUUCACCUGGAGACCUUCA
rnacentral:misc_RNA from 1 species